AACGGUGUAGCUCAAUUGGUAGAGCAACGAGGUAUGAUAAUCCGUAGGUCGGCGGUUCAAGUCCGCCCACCGUUCCUA
rnacentral:tRNA from 3 species